rnacentral:piRNA from 1 species
GCGCACGUUUAUGCAAGUUUGUAUGCUGG